GACGAACGCUGGCGGCGUGCUUAACACAUGCAAGUCGAACGGAAAGGCCCUGCUUUUGUGGGGUGCUCGAGUGGCGAACGGGUGAGUAACACGUGAGUAACCUGCCCUUGACUUUGGGGUAACUUCAGGAAACUGGGGCUAAUACCGGAUAGGAGCUCCUGAUGCAUGGUGGGGGUUGGAAAGUUUCGGCGGUUGGGGAUGGACUCGCGGCUUAUCAUCUUGUUGGUGGGGUAGUGGCUUACCAAGGCUUUGACGGGUAGCCGGCCUGAGAGGGUGACCGGGCACAUUGGGACUGAGAUACGGCCCAGACUGCUACGGGAGGCAGCAGUGGGGAAUAGUGCACGAUGGGCGGAAGCCUGAUGCAGCAACGCCGCGUGCUGGAUGACGGCCUUUGGGUUGUAAACCGCGUUCGCCUGUGACGAAGCGUGAGUGACGGUAAUGGGUAAAGAAGCACCGGCUAACUACGUG
rnacentral:rRNA from 1 species